UACGUAGGGUCCGAGCGUUGUCCGGAAUUACUGGGCGUAAAGAGCUCGUAGGUGGUUUGUCGCGUUGUUCGUGAAAACUCACAGCUCAACUGUGGGCGUGCGGGCGAUACGGGCAGACUAGAGUACUGCAGGGGAGACUGGAAUUCCUGGUGUAGCGGUGGAAUGCGCAGAUAUCAGGAGGAACACCGGUGGCGAAGGCGGGUCUCUGGGCCGAUACUGACGCUGGAGGAGCGAAAGCAUGGGUAGCGAACAGG
rnacentral:rRNA from 1 species